UACGUAGGGUGCGAGCGUUAAUCGGAAUUACUGGGCGUAAAGCGUGCGCAGGCGGUUUUGUAAGUCAGAUGUGAAAUCCCCGGGCUCAACCUGGGAACUGCGUUUGAAACUACAAGGCUAGAGUGUAGCAGAGGGGGGUAGAAUUCCACGUGUAGCAGUGAAAUGCGUAGAGAUGUGGAGGAAUACCAAUGGCGAAGGCAAUCCCUGGGCCUGUACUGACGCUCAUGCACGAAAGCGUGGGGAGCAAACAGG
rnacentral:rRNA from 1 species